rnacentral:rRNA from 1 species
UACGUAGGCAGCAAGCGUUGUUCGGAGUUACUGGGCGUAAAGGGUGCGUAGGCGGUUGUUUAAGUUUGGUGUGAAAUCUCCCGGCUCAACUGGGAGGGUGCGCCGAAUACUGAAUGACUAGAGUGCGGGAGAGGAUAGUGGAAUUCCUGGUGUAGCGGUGAAAUGCGUAGAUAUCAGGAGGAACACCGGUGGUGUAGACGGCUAUCUGGACCGUAGCUGACGCUGAGGCACGAAAGCGUGGGUAGCAAACAGG